rfam:Methylobacterium tarhaniae strain DSM 25844 contig_3, whole genome shotgun sequence.
UCCCCGGUGGAAACCCGGGCCGGCAAACUCUCGCUCCAGCCGGAAGCACUUGGGGCGGGUCAGGAGGCGACGAAUGACCUGAAGCACCCCGAGACACAGCCCCUCCAGGGGGUCAGCGGUCCGCACGGGCCGGAACGUGA